UUUUAUGAGAAGUAUUUUUUAACUGCGUCUGAGUUCACAGGGGAAGUGAAGUUUUCACCUUCCAUAGUUGCAAGCAUUAGGCUCCACCAUCAAAAACCUUGGUGACAACAUACGGUCCAUCAUAGUUAGGAGUCCACUUGCCCCUGUGAUCUGUCUGAGGAGGAAGGAUCCUUUUCAACACCAAAUCUCCGACUUGGAAGCAUCACAGACGCACUUUAUGAUCAAAGGCUCUCUUCAU
rnacentral:lncRNA from 1 species